UACAGAGGGGGCAAGCGUUGUUCGGAAUUACUGGGCGUAAAGGGCGCGUAGGCGGCCGCCUAAGUCAGACGUGAAAUCCCUCGGCUCAACCGGGGAACUGCGUCUGAUACUGGGUGGCUUGAAUCCGGGAGAGGGAUGCGGAAUUCCAGGUGUAGCGGUGAAAUGCGUAGAUAUCGGGAAGAACACCCGUGGCGAAGGCGGUUCUCUGGGACGGUACUGACGCUGAGACGCGAAAGCGUGGGGAGCGAACAGG
rnacentral:rRNA from 1 species